AUGGCGGGAUGGAUGCGGGUUUUAAUCGGCCUUGCGGCGAGAAUUAAUAAUUGAACACUACUGGAGCUAGAGUCGAUCCGGAUCCGCUGUUCUUCCUCCAACAGAGUUUACCUAACCUACGUCAUGCGUCACUCUUUGACAGAGGGAUGCGAUCAUGCGACCUCCAAGAACUAAGAAUUAAGUGUUGGCUGUUCUCUUUGUGACAGUCGAUCCGUGAAAGUGGCGGGAAGCGAGAGCAGCGAUGACGGCGGAAUCUUGCGAUAACCCUAGCGGAGGAUUCGGCUUCAACCUAGACAGGAAAAAAUGAAAUGACUAAACUGACCUUCUCAUUCUUAAGAUCGCACGGCGUUCGUUCGAGAUCGAACGGUCAGAGAAGGAGCUGCUGAGAACUUGCCAAAUUGCAUGGUGAAAUAUGGUAUUAGCUGAGGGGGAGAUGUCUUCGUCGAAAAGGGCGGCGAUGGAGAAUCAGCCGGACGCCAGACGGAUUCUGCGGACACAGACGAUGGGUAGUCUUUGGGGAGUCCAUCUUCGACAGGGAGGUCGUGGCUUCGUCCCUCGUCGAGGUCGCACCCAUUCUUCGAGUCGCCAACGAAGUCGAGUUACAGAACCCGCGUGUUGCUUAUCUCUUUUUGGGCGACCACAAUAUAGAUCCAAGUGACCGAAUAUUCUAAUUAGCACAGAAAGACAGCAUGGAAACCUCCUCUUAUUUGGUCGAAGAAGUUAUUUUAGUCAAUCAGAAUGCUUCAGUACGACUGGAAGUAUGAUACAGGCCACCAAAUAGUGGAUAAUAGAUGAAUAACAGUCGUUCCGAUAACAGUUCAUUCAGGUGAUCAAAUAGGCGUUCUGGUCAAUCAGGGCAUCUGAAAAACACCUAUAUAAAGGGCUUUGAAGGAGACAUCUAAAACAAUUACAAUUCAAUACCCUUCAAACUAUGCUAAAGCUCUCUUUGCUCGUAGAAGAUCUCUAUAGGCAACUCACUGCGGCUUUCAACAUGCUCCAAACCUUGCUAAAGCUCUCUUCAUUUGUCUAGAAGAUCUCUAUAGGCAUCACAAUGCAGCGACAGCUCAGUAUUUCAAUGUUGUUUAUUAUUUCCAUAAGCUGUUCAUAUCAUUAUUAGUCUGUCUUAUUUUGGCUUGUGCAAAUUGAUUCUUGAUUAUUUGUUAGCCAAAUUAUUUUUUGUAAAGAGGUUUCCUCUCCUUUGAAAUAUAUUUCAGAAAAGAGAAAAUAUAGUGGGUUUUGACAAAGGUUGAUUCACCUAACUGAUUAUUAGGCCAUUGAGUAGGAACCUGAAAGUUACUGAACCCCGUAAAAUUCACUGUGUCACUUAGUUCUUUUUUGCUGUUAUUCUUCAUAUUUAAAUUCAUUUUUAUAAAUUAGAUUAAUUAAAAUCAACAAUUAACCUUUCGCUGCACAUUUGAAUUAGUGAGUUAUUUAGAAAAUAUAUAAUUUUUUUAAAUUGCUAUUCAGCCCCCCUUAAUGAUCUUACAAAUUCAUGUGCUUGUAUUGCCUGAAACCUUGGGCAGAAUGAGAAAGGACUAUCGGUAGAAAGUAGGGUUUGGACUUCAGACUCUAGUUUAUAUCUUAGCAUGGUAUCCCUGUACUUUAUAAGCUGCAACUUUAAAUCUUUCUUUUUUAUGCUCUUCGUCAGAUGCCCUCUGAGCUAUAUGAAAUGUUAGCUGAGAAUACAGGCUCAGUGACUAGUGAAAAUAUAAAGCCAGCAUAUGGUGUUGAUAAAGAAGUAUUUUUGAAAAAGUUGUAACUCCAAUUUAUCAAACAAUAGCAAAGGAGGCUGAGAGAAGCAUGAGAGACAAAUCGAAACAUGCACGCUGGCGGAAUACGAAGAUUUGAAUGAAUAUUUUUUGGUCUAUAAUCUGCUUUCUAGUAGGAUGGCCUAUGGGAGCUGAAGCUGAUUUUUUUUUUGUCAGCCACCACAACCUUCCAUGUACAAAAAGGACGAAGUAAAUCCUAAAGUGUCUUGCAGUUAGUGAAUCUAGCUGAUGAAUUUUCUUCCUUAAAUGUUCCUUCUCUACAAAAGCAAUCAAGCCCGUCGAUACUUGAUAUGUGCUCACCAUGAAUGUCAUUACGAGAAAGCCUUCAUGAGAAAUAGGACUUCGUCA